CCCGUCCGUCUCCGGGUCGCGGCCCCAGCGCCCCUCCUCCGGAAACCGGUCUUGACCUCGGAACACGCCCCGCAGACCCUUCCCUCCGCGCCGCGCUCAGGCCGGUGACCUUGGGCUCUUCCUGGAUCCGCGACGUGCUGGACCCAAAGCCUUGGUCUCCGAGACGCCGCAGCUCGGGGAUGGGAAUCGGAGUUCCCUCUGACGGAGCCUCUUCCUUUUGUCCGUCCCGUCUCCGGGCCGCAGAGAACUUCUGUCCCUGCCCGUCGGCCUCUUCUCCUGUGGGGAGACCCUGGGGUCCUCCGCGCGGGGCUGUCCUCAGCCUUCCUGUCCCGGGCGUUCUGCAGCGCGGCUGCCCGAGGAGGCCCUUCGGCCCGGGGCCCGCGGCCGGAGCCAGGGCCGGCGGAGGGAGUCCCGCAGCCGUGUGCUCUGCGGCCUCGAGACCAGACAGCGGGGACUUCGGCGGGGACCCUCCGGCGGCGGACGCGCGCGGACGGCGUCUCGGUGUCCUGGCACCCCGCCUUCGGGCCGCGGAGUUCGGGGCUUCGUGACAGACUCACAUCGGGCUUCCUGUUUGUUCGGUUACGCGUCUGUAGUGACCGUCGUGGUGUCCCCAGGGCUCCGCACCGUCUGGCCGGAUGGCACGCGCGCCCGUGCUGUCAGCCUCACCAUCGGGGCUGGACUCCUGACGAUGCCCUUACCCGGACCCUCUCUCCUCCUGCAGGAUGACUCAGCCGCAGGGCUGGCGAGGACACUUGGUGUCCAAAGUAAGGACGCGAGGUCCCGCUGGACAGAAUCCGGCGUUGCUAGAAAGCGAGUAUGAGCUGCCCUUUGAGAUAAAACACGUCCGGCAGGCUCGGAAGGCCUGCAGUGUGGCGCGGGACACACAGAAGGCUCUUAAUGUUUAUCAUGGUUUUCACGAGUCUCCUUAGAGAUCCCCAUUUGUGUUACGUGUGAGCGGCAUAUUACUAUCCAAACUGCAAGUCCUAGUAGAUCGCGACCAGCACUGCUCUACCGACGAAGGUUGAAAAGCCACCCGAAACCCACAGAAUACCUAGGAUUCCUAAAUUCGGGAGAACCCGGAUACGUUCAGGCCAUGAAGACGUUCAGGCCGACAUUGUUCAAGACCUGAAGAUAAUACAAGGUGUAGCUCCAGACAGCAAGGCUGGAAGAAGGCAUGUUUGCAUCAUCCCUCCAAUGGGGUCUUGGUCUCCGGGAAUGGCUUGCCCAGGCCUCCGGCCACUGGCUGCCAUUGGCUCCCUAGAAGCGAAGAGAACGCAAGAGAUUCCGUCAAAACAAGGCUCGAAGGACUCUCCUGAGGUUUUGCUGCACUCUUCCACGUACUUCACACCCGUCCGAACUUCCCUAGAUGCCACUGCCGUCACAGCAUAGCUGCGAUCACCCCGGUCACCCCCGCGUGCGGUCAGCUCAGCCCGGUCACUGGACAGCCUGGUCACUGGACAGCUCAGUCUCCUGCUACUUCACAGGGGAAAGCAUCUGCAUCUCACAAACUUGCUUCUGCUUCCACACCCCCCCACUAUGGCUCACAUCUUCCCUCCGCUGGGAAUAUCCCUGCUUGUAGCCACCGGUUGAAAUCCUAACCUUCUCCCUAGACGGCCGAGCUGCUUGCUGGUUUUGAUUUUCCUCCACGAAGCACACAAUUUCACCUUCCCCCCCGUGAUGGUAGGCAAGGCCCUGUGACUUGUUUUGGUUAACGAAAUGGUGUAGAAGCGAUACGUCUCUUGAAAGCCGGUGAGUGACCGGCCAGCCCUGUUUCUCCCUCGCCCCAGUGCCUGGAGAAGUCUGUGUCGGGGUGGGGAGCCAUAAAGCCCCGUCUCAGCCACAACCAACCCUGCAGGGUCGCUGGGUCCCACAAUGGGUGUGAAGCCCUGAAAAGUGGGGGCUGCUUACUCCCAUGGGACGACUUGCCCCACCGCAGAAGUGCUCCCCGCAAAACAGACCUGGAGGGGCACUCCUGAGUGACCCCCAUGGCACCUCGUCCCUCUGUUUGCAGUCAUGCCCCAGCUGAUGGGAGAGCAUGGACUUAGGGUCACAUAGAGCUGAGUUGGAAGGUCACACGGUCAUUGGCCAUUAGUGGUCAAGUAUCUUUCUAAAACCCAGUUUUCUUUUCUACAGAACUGGCAGGCUGCUCAGGGUCCUGAAAGGUAAGCGGGCGGCAGUCCUGCAGUGUUCAGCCUUCAGUGAGAUCUCUCUCUCCCUGGUAUCGCAAACACACACCUGAGAGUAAUUUCAGAGAAUAGGAUUGACUUUUUCCUACUAUUUGUAGGGCAGUUACAAAUUUUUCCAUCCAGUAUGUUCACCAAAGUAGAAUUCUCUUUUUUUAAUGUUUUUGAAGAUUUUUAAGGAAUCUCUGCACCCAGCAUGGGGCUUAAACUCACAACCCUGAGGUCCAGAGUAGUAUGGUCCUGAGCAGUGGGGCCCCUAAUCUCUUUUAAAGUAAAGCACAGAUACAUAAGUCUUUUUAGGUAGUUAACAAGGCAGACAUAACUGAGUAAUUAAUUUAGUGAAAUUAUUAUGUAAUAAUAUUCUUGUCUUUCUAGAACAAAAUUUAGGUGGAAUUUUCACAAGAAAAGUCUUUUCAAAAAUUG